rnacentral:rRNA from 1 species
CUCGGUAGCGAUAGCGCUGGGGUCACACCUGUUCCCAUUCCGAACACAGAAGUUAAGUCCAGCUGCGCCGAUGGUACUUGGGACGAACGUCCCUGGGAGAGUAGGUCGCCGCCGGUU